CUCCAGUGUGAUGCCAACAAGGAAGCGGAGGAACAGGUCCAGGUGUCCAUUCUCACUCUCCAAUGUUUUAUCCACUAUCAUAUUCAGCAGCUCAUGAAAGGGCAGUUCUGAAGACACAUCUUCAAUGAAAGACUCCAGGUCCUUGAUGUUCUUGGUCACACAGCAGUGGAAAACAUACAGAGCAGCAAGGAACUCCUGGAAGCUCAGAUUUGUCUGAAUGAGUGUGAGGUGAGCGUACAUCUCAGUCAGAGUUGUGAUAUCUCCACUCUUUCCUUCAGUCAUCAUGUGCUGAAGAACCCUGGCAGUAAUCCAACAGAAGACUGGUAUGUGACACAUGAUGUGGAGGCACACUUCAUGUGUGAGAUGAUACUGUUGGCCUGGUUCUCAUCUCUGAAUCGGUUCUUAAAGUAUUCUUCUUUCUGUUUGUCACUGAACCCUCGUACUUCUGUCACCUUGCUGAUGUACUUACGAGGGAUCUGAUUGGCUGCUGCUUGUCUGGAGGUUAUCCAGAUGAGGGCUUUGGGGAGUAGAUUUCCAUCAAUGAGGUUUGUCAUCAACCUGUCAACUGAAGAUGUCUCAUUUACAUCCCUCAGUUUCUUAUUCUUAUC